rnacentral:rRNA from 1 species
UACGUAGGGGGCUAGCGUUGUCCGGAUUUAUUGGGCGUAAAGAGCGUGUAGGCGGCUUGGUAGGUCCGCUGUGAAAACUCGAGGCUCAACCUCGAGAUGUCGGCGGAAACCACUUGGCUAGAGUCCGGAAGAGGAGAGUGGAAUUCCCGGUGUAGCGGUGAAAUGCGCAGAUAUCGGGAAGAACACCUAUGGCGAAGGCAGCUCUCUGGGACGGUACUGACGCUGAGACGCGAAAGCGUGGGGAGCGAACAGG